rnacentral:tRNA from 1 species
GCCUGGGUGGCUCAGUUGGUUAAGCUUCUGACUUCGGCUCAGGUCAUGAACUCGUGGUUUGUGAGUUCGAGCCCCAUGUCAGGCC